UACGAAGGGGGCGAGCGUUGUUCGGAUUUACUGGGCGUAAAGGGCGCGUAGGCGGCCAUUCAAGUCAGGCGUGAAAGCCCCGGGCUCAACCUGGGAGGUGCGCUUGGGACUGGGUGGCUGGAGUUCGGGAGAGGAGAGUGGAAUUCCCAGUGUAGAGGUGAAAUUCGUAGAUAUGGGGAGGAACACCGGUGGCGAAGGCGGCCACCUGGACGGUAACUGACGCUGAGACGCGAAAGCGUGGGGAGCAAACAGG
rnacentral:rRNA from 1 species